AUAUCAAGUUGUCAUUUAACUCAUUCUUUUUUAAGUCAUUUGCCACUGCCAUUGAUGCCACGAGACACAAGCUUCCUGUGAAGAACGUGGACAUCGGAGAGGACGCAGGCCAGUUUUUAGACAAAGCUGUUGAAUGUCUGAAUCAGAGUGCACAAGUCUUGCAACACUAUACAAAGGACAUGCCCACUGAGUGUGAGGCUUCAACGGAGUGUCUUAGAGAGAUGAACAAUACAGCUAAUGAAAUCAGCCAACAGUUGACAAGGACUUUUUCGGAUCUUCUGGAGGUGUCUUCAUUAGAAAGCCGGGAGACAGUUUUGAUCCAGCAGUCACUGGAGGAAGACAAGCUCGGACAGAGCACAGCCCAGACACUCUUCUGUCCCUCCACGUCAUGAUUAUACAUUGUAUGAAUAUCACAUCGGUUUGCAAUUAAAUAAUUAAAGUAUGUAAAAAAAAAAUCAAUGAAUUGUAGGUAUUUAUUUCAUACAUUGCUAC
rnacentral:lncRNA from 1 species